AUGUAUGUGUUUAUUUCCACUUUUGAUCUCCUGAUCAGUCUUGACGUGUUCUUAUUGAAGUCAAUUAAUCAUAUGUUACUAAUACUGUAGGUUACGAAGGGACUAUUGAGAGGGCUUAUUGUAGUUGCUGAUUACUGGUCAUGUGACUAUUGAGAGGGAUUAUUUGAAUGUUAUCCAAAAGACAACACAGGAUAUCCAUGUAUGUUGAUGAUGAUGAUGAUGAGGGUAGGAGCCGGUCUCUUGUCAGAUAACCAAAAGAUUACCUUAUCAUCUGUGUAACAAGAAAUACGCGAAAGUUAGAACAUGGACGUGUUAUCAAGUGAAACUCUAUGCACUGAUCAAAAGUGGUAUGCUAUCACCAGAGGUAGUCAUUAUAAAAAAUCUUGAUCCUGAAGUUGUAGUCGGUGGCAGGGAUGCUUUGACUGAGUACAAUUCUAAAGCUUCAAGUCUGAAAACAAGAUUGAAGUGUAUGAGCUUUUCAAGGACAUGUGCAAGUGGUUAGGGUCAUUAGAAAUUGGAUGCUCUAGCACUACUGUUGUAAGUAUUCAUUGUUUGAUAACAAGUCUGU